GGCUUCAUGGUUGAGUGGUAAAGACACUUGCCUCUCACCUGGAGUCCCAGGUUUGAUUCCUGGUUGAGGAGCUA